CUCUCUUCCACCUAAACUGACAGUGAGUCCAGCAGUGAUCAAAGACACAGACUCAGUCACACUGAACUGUCAGACUCCAUCAUCCGUUACUGUGUCUCAGUGUAAUUUUUACACUUUAAGUGGAAAACAAACCAAAGAGUUUUCUUGUCUGAAGACACUGACAGCGACUGAGCUGCUGGAGAUAUCACAUCAGAGUUCACCUGCUGAGGUCCAAGUGACGUGUUUCUACACUGUAAAGGUUGGAGAGUUACAUUAUCCUUCUCCACACAGUGGCACAUCCUCCAUCACCAUACAAAGUAACAAACCACAGUUGAGUGUUGAUCAUGUGCUUGGUGAUCACCUUCGCUUUAUCUGCCUUCUGCCUGGAUCUGCUGAUGGUGGUACACAAUGUCACCUGUACUUUGGAGAUAAAGUCCUAACAAGAGCGAUCCAUAAGGGAAGGACCUCAAAGAAACAGUCGUUCUGCCAGUUUACUGUCACAAUUAAUGAUUUGCUGAGUCGUCUACGUUCGGUUCAACAAAGAGAUGCCAGCUGUGAUUACAGUUUGGGAAGUGAACCCAACCCUUUGUCUCCUCGUAGUGAUGCAUACAGCUUGACUGAUAUUGUGGAGAAAGAGACACACGAGA